GUGGAAGGCUCCUCCUCCAGCGUGCACACCUGCUGCCAAUUUGAUCAUCAUGAUUAAGACACGUAUUUAAGAUGCCAAGAUCCCAUGUCUCUUGUCGGAUUAUUGACCUUGUUGCUGCUCUUGCUCAAGUGCUCGAUCUCGUCAUUGUCGCUUUUGCCUCGAGUUACUCGAUAGUCUUUUUGAAAACAGGGAAAUGGAGGUGUCCUCUCUGACCAGGCCGCCUUUUGUUCCCGAGCCAGAGAGCACAGUUGAGCUCCCGAGGCGACGGAGAACUGGGAAAGAAUUAAUGCCGUGGAUGAGACCGCCGCCGAUCGAUGGAAGCCCCCCAGCAGCCUGUUUGCCGGUGGUGAUCACGACCGCACUGCGACGGCCUGGUGGAUAUG